rnacentral:rRNA from 1 species
UACGAAGGGGGCUAGCGUUGCUCGGAGUUACUGGGCGUAAAGGGCGCGUAGGCGGCCCGCUAAGUCGAACGUGAAAUCCCCAGGCUCAACCCGGACGUGCGUCCGAUCACUGCAGGCUUGAAUCCGGGAGAGGGAUGUGGAAUUCCAGGUGUAGCGGUGAAAUGCGUAGAUAUCUGGAGGAACACCGGUGGCGAAGGCGGCAUCCUGGACCGGUAUUGACGCUGAGGCGCGAAAGCUAGGGGAGCAAACGGG